AAUUACAGCUCUGUAGAGUUAUCGUAAGAGGAAAUAAUCAAGGAUUUGGCUUUAUGGAUUCCUCCCGUGAACAUGUCAAUAAGUACAUGAAAAAUACACAAAGACUGUGUGGACAUGCUUUGCAUAAGUCUUAACACCUUAAGAACCAAAUAUUGUAUUUUGAGGUAUUCCUAAUCUCACCCCGAAAGACAUUAUGCCAGCAUAAAACGUUCUGCUUAAUGCAGGUUUGGAAGUUCAGUUGAGCAUUCCAUUUGUUAAAUGACUGGGUCUAUAAAGAUGUGUUCUUUAAAUUGGGUGUUCACAUUAUUUCACAAUUUCGGUAGGAGUUCUGGUAUUACUAAUUUUACAAGUGCAGGGGGACUUUAUAUCUCUUCCGUUCAUCCCUCCAACAUAUAGCUGUCAUUUGAAUAAACGGUCAAUCAUCCUGCUAACCACUUGGAUCCUAUACACUCAUUGUUGUGGCAGUAGUCCGCUACUGUUGUAUGCAUUGACAAAUUGUAGUAUUUGUUGUCUUUUGCUGUUUGAAAGAUCCCUUUUAUUUUU